rnacentral:rRNA from 1 species
UGGUAGUNCACGCCGUAAACGAUGAGUGCUAGGUGUUAGGCCCUUUCCGGGGCUUAGUGCCGGAGCUAACGCAAUAAGCACUCCGCCUGGGGAGUACGACCGCAAGGUUGAAACUCAAAGGAAUUGACGGGGGCCCGCACAAGCGGUGGAGCAUGUGGUUUAAUUCGAAGCAACGCGAAGAACCUUACCAGGUCUUGACAUCCCGAUGCUAUUCUUAGAGAUAGGAAGUUACUUCGGUACAUCGGAGACAGGUGGUGCAUGGUUGUCGUCAGCUCGUGUCGUGAGAUGUUGGGUUAAGUCCCGCAACGAGCGCAACCCUUAUUGUUAGUUGCCAUCAUUAAGUUGGGCACUCUAGCGAGACUGCCGGUAAUAAACCGGAGGAAGGUGGGGAUGACGUCAAAUCAUCAUGCCCCUUAUGACCUGGGCUACACACGUGCUACAAUGGUCGGUACAACGAGUUGCGAGCCGGUGACGGCAAGCUAAUCUCUGAAAGCCGAUCUCAGUUCGGAUUGGAGGCUGCAACUCGCCUCCAUGAAGUCGGAAUCGCUAGUAAUCGCGGAUCAGCACGCCGCGGUGAAUACGUUCCCGGGCCUUGUACACACCGCCCGUCACACCACGAGAGUUUGUAACACCCGAAGUCGGUGAGGUANCCUUUUAGGGGCCA